UAAGCAGAAACCAAUGCUUGUGAGCUAGC
rnacentral:piRNA from 1 species